UGGUUGACUUUCGGUGGAGGAACCAAACUCAACAUUGACUUGGGUGUGGUGCGGCCCACCCUGACCCUCCUCCCCCCCUCCAGUGAAGAGCUGAAGCAGGGCACUGCCACUCUGGUGUGUAUGGCCAGCGGGGGCUUCCCCUCAGCCUGGAGCCUGGGCUGGAAGGUGGGGGGCAGCAUCAGGUCCUCAGGGGUGUCUCUAAGCCCGGGGGUCCUGGGGGGGGCCGGCCACUACAGCUGGAGCAGCACCAUGAGCCUCCCUGCAGAGCAGUGGAGGAAGGCGGGCUCAGUGAGCUGUGAGGCCAGUCUGAACGGACAGAGCCCUGUCGCUCAAACCCUGGACCCUGACCUCUGCUCGGAGUAGAGAGACGACAUCACUUCCUGUCUGACAUGAUGCUGAUUCUUUGAUGAGCUGCACAUCUCCUCUCUGCAGCUUUCUGCUGGGUUUCAGUGUCCAUGUUGCUUUUCAGUAUCGAUCAUCUGCAUAUUCUGCUUUAUCUCUGAUAGUGUUUUUAAUUAAACUGACUUUUAUUUGUUUAAUUCUAAUUUUGAACAAACCUACUCAUUCAUCAAAACAUCAUAAUCAUCAUUGAAUAAAACUGUGUGUCACAAUAAA